AGUGAGUAAUCAUGCCCAUCAAUUCACUAGUGUAGUCAAGACUAAAUGGCACUGGAGAGAAAAAUCACUGGCUUUUGUUGAUUGUCUAUUCAAAAAAGAAACCUCCUGUCAGGAAUAUUUACCACAUUUCUCAGGCCCAGGAAGAGUUGGGAUGCUGUGGGCAGUGUCAUACCUCUUCUUUCUCUGGAUUCACCACUUUACAUGCUAAAUAAAUGGAACUGCAAGUGACAGGGAUUGCUGUUGAGGACCAUCAGAGAAGCAUAAAACACGAACUGAGGUUCAAUUGAAAAUUGUGAGAAAAAAACAGAACUGUUAUCACAUUGCAUCAUCCUGACACCUGUGUAUGUCAUCAGCAAGUCAGCUGUCAGCAUGUUCACUUGAUCUGCUCUCAGAAAUGCCCCUUAGGGCACUUGAAAAAUUGGGGGGUACCUCAACAGAAACCACUUAUGCCAUUGAUGUUACACACAAUGUCCAUGGCAAAGGACAUGAAAGAGACCAGUUCUGUGAUGUGACAUUUGGCAGCUUUGGUCAUGAAAAGUAUCUUAUUUUCUACAAAGAUAUGCCUCUGUCAUAGACAUUUGUUCCACCUCUACAUCAACCACUGACAAUAGGAAUCUCCCC